AAUGCUUCCUUCGUAUAAGGUUGAGCUUCUUAGAGUUGUUGAGACAAAGUUUGUCCUUCCUGCAAAUAGCCAUGAUUGGGUGCUGAAGUCCGUCAACCGCAAAUAGAAAGAAUAUAAAGCGAAGCUAAAGGCGGAUUGGAAGCACGAGGGCAUGACUGAAGAGGAGGUGGCCCAUGUUUGCCCUCCAGAUGUAAUCUCUCAUCAGUGGAGGGAGCUUGUCCACUACUGGUUUUCCGAGAGAGCUCAGACAUAUUCCAAUAUUGGUAGAGCUGCUCGAGCAUCACAGACUGUUCCUCAC